rnacentral:rRNA from 1 species
UUUAAAGAAAGCGUAAUAGCUCACUGGUCGAGUCGGCCUGCGCGGAAGAUGUAACGGGGCUAAACCAUGCACCGAAGCUGCGGCAGCGACACUAUGUGUUGUUGGGUAGGGGAGCGUUCUGUAAGCCGUUGAAGGUGUAUUGUGAGGUAUGCUGGAGGUAUCAGAAGUGCGAAUGCUGACAUAAGUAACGAUAAUGCGGGUGAAAAACCCGCACGCCGGAAGACCAAGGGUUCCUGUCCAACGUUAAUCGGGGCAGGGUGAGUCGACCCCUAAGGCGAGGCCGAAAGGCGUAGUCGAUGGGAAACAGGUUAAUAUUCCUGUACUUGGUGUUACUGCGAAGGGGGGACGGAGAAGGCUAUGUUAGCCGGGCGACGGUUGUCCCGGUUUAAGCAUGUAGGCGGAGGUUCCAGGUAAAUCCGGUACCUUUUUAACGCUGAGGUGUGAUGACGAGGCACUACGGUGCUGAAGUAACAAAUGCCCUGCUUCCAGGAAAAGCCUCUAAGCAUCAGGUAACACGAAAUCGUACCCCAAACCGACACAGGUGGUCAGGUAGAGAAUACCAAGGCGCUUGAGAGAACUCGGGUGAAGGAACUAGGCAAAAUGGUGCCGUAACUUCGGGAGAAGGCACGCUGAUAUGUAGGUGAAGUGAUUUACUCAUGGAGCUGAAAUCAGUCGAAGAUACCAGCUGGCUGCAACUGUUUAUUAAAAACACAGCACUGUGCAAACACGAAAGUGGACGUAUACGGUGUGACGCCUGCCCGGUGCCGGAAGGUUAAUUGAUGGGGUUAUCCGUAAGGAGAAGCUCUUGAUCGAAGCCCCGGUAAACGGCG